UUGUGUAUUAAAACUCCUUAUUACAUAAACUAAUACUUUUAUCAAAUUACUGCUCCUCCCUUUGCUCCCAUCCGCCGCCGCAGCCUGUCAUCCCCGACUGUCGCCCGCCACCGCCCGAUACCCCCGCUGCCGUCGCCUCCUCAUCAGCUCGGCGCCUCCAUGAUUCUCCUUCUCUCUUCUUCGACGAACAGCUGCUCGACGAGUGCUCGCCUCAAACAGCCGCACCCGCACAGGCACACACAAGCGAGCGCGCCUCCAUCGUCGCUCGCCGUCCGCCACCAUCGAUGUCAGCAUCAGCAGCAAGCGCUAUCGCCACCUCUGUCACCUCCAUCCAACGGCAGUCACCGGCCCAGCCAGAGGUUUCUGAUUGAUACUUUGGAAACAAAGCUUGGUCUGAGAAAUAUGGCAUUGCUUGGAACUAGGCUCCUGUUGAUAAACUACAUUGGUUCUGUUGCAGUAGCAAUUUACUUACCUCAGGCACUUUAUGUUUUGAGUUAUUAAUGGAGGUCAACACAAAGGCAAUACAUAGGCAUUAUCUUCGUGUUGCUCACAUUGCAGAUUGUGUGAUAGAUACAUUCCUUAAUCCUAAGUGAAUAAAGAAAAAAAGUGUUGGAUCAUCUUUGAUGUUGGGCGUAGAAAGUCAAUGGGCUCCUAUUGCUCUUCGUUGUAUGAAUGGGCAUGUGGGAUUUAUGCUUUCGUGUUAUGACGCACAAUUAAGCUAUGGUUCAACCUCAGACAAUUUUGUUGCUAAAUAUAAAAACCUUCUAUACAAGAAUCUCCUAAGUACUCUUGCUGUACAUGGAUCUAUUGAGUGGUGUUGACAUGGACAGAGUUAGUUUCGUAAGGUGUUGUAUGGGCAUAUUGGUUUAUGGUAGUUUUUUUUUAAUGUUAUUUUUGUUUUCUUUUGACUUCAGAUAGAACUAUUGUACUUAGCAUUUUGAUUAUCUUCGGAUGAGAAUUUUAUUACAAUGUUUAUUUUAGUACAAUGUUUGGAUGAUUAAUUAUUUAUAUAAUAUAUGUUUUAGAU